GGCAGUAAGAUUAGGCACAUCUCCUGUUGAGGCUAUCAGAGACUCAGUAGGGGGAAAUGGUCCCGAAGGUGCGGCAGGAAAUGGCUGACCCCUCACCCUGCCCCUGCAGUGACCUCAACCCUGCUCCUGAGGACCACCCUCCCCGCUGCCUAAGGCGGACCCAUGAUCACCUCUCCAGGUUGGCCGCCAAACACCAGAGGAUGAAGCGUGAACAGAGAGGUUACUGCAACCCAGUUCUUUCAUUCAGAAGGUGAAGGUCACGUAAGCUUUCAUUGUUACCUUCAAGUUUGUUCGUGAGAGGAUGGAUAAUCAAUAUUGACAGCACAGAAGUCCAAUCUGUCCAGAACUAGAGCUUGGUCUAGUACAGACUAAAAAUAAAAGAAAAAGAUGUGUAGCAUGUCCAACAAUGGGAAGAAAAUUUCCAAGGUCUUCUAGAAAUAGAACUUUUUUCUUUUCUACUUGGUCUAUUUGUGUGGGUCUUCUUGGCUUUCCAAAGGGGACUCAAGCUCUGAGUGCAGAUUCACAGUAAGUUCUAUAGUCUCUGUUCAACCCUUCUCUCUGCUUACCAGGUCUCAGGGCAGAGGCCUGGAGAGGCCCUUCAAUCAGUACUUACAGAAUUGAACACUAGCCCAGGCAUUUGGCUUGUCCUUUACAUUUUAAUGUUUCAGUUUUACAUCUUGAUGGAUCCACUCCAUCCUUCAUCUUUCUCAGCUCUUACCCUACUGCUCAUGGCUGAACUGUGAUGUACUGGGAAUGUCUGCGUUUAAUACCUAUGCCAACAACCCUGUCUAGUAUCUAGGAUCACAGUAAGAAGAAACAAAGGCAUCUUGAGAAAAAAAAACACAUGAAAAAAGCUGGCCUUGAACUCAGAAAUCUGCCUGCCUCUGCAUCCUGAGUGCUGGGAUUAAAGGCGUGCACCACCACACCCGGCUUGAAAAUAUUUUUUGAACACAUUAAAAAAUGUAACAUAAGUCUUUGACUUUUCCUAGAAGAGAAACGCAUCAGAGAAGUUAGAUUAACUCAGCAGGUAUAAUAAUAAGCUCAUACAAAUUGAAGUAAACUACAAAAAAGUAGGGACACUAAUGUGAGACCAGAAUGUUUUCAAGUAUAGAGCAUUGAUUAAUUUGAACAUGCAGUAAAAUCUACAGGCAUUGCAUGAAAGCCACAGCUGCAAAGAGAACCUCGAAAGUUCUUACCCUGUUCUAAACUACAAAGACUCUGAGAAAACAUUAUGGGUUGAUUGGGGUUUUUGUUUUGUUUUUUGCUUUUAUUUUUUUAUCAUUUUUGCAACAAACUUAGAAAACAACUGCAGAAGGGACACUCUGAAAUCCACAGAGGCAGAAAAGUGAAGAUGUUUUCUGAAGUAGCUUGAAGAAGAGAAACAGUGCUUGUUUUAUCAAUGGGGGUCACACUCAGCCACCCUUAUCUUCUUCCCCUGCACCCUAGAUCACCCCAAAGCAGCAGAGUCAUAUGCAAACCAAGAUCACCUUAUCAGCAAACUCCAUAAUUGCAAGGGCUGAUGUGGGUGUGAUGGCUAAGGUUGGUUGUCGACUUGGCACACUAGGGAAGAGGGAACCUCAUCUUGAAAAUUGCCUUCAUCAGACCUGUUUGUGGUACAUGAGUGUUAGUUGAUGGAGAAGUGAUUAGUUCACUAUGGGUGGUGCCACCCUUAGGCAGAUAAGUUUGGGAUGUAUAAGGAGGGAAGCUGAGCAUGAGUCUGGGAGCCAGGCGGUAAGCAGCCCUUCUUCAUGGCUUCUGCAUUAGUUCCUGCCUUGAGUUCCUGGCCUGACUUCCCUCAGUGAUGGACUGUAGCUUGAGAACUGUAAGAUGAAAGAAAACCUUUGCUCUUUGGACAAAAGACAAGUACAACAAUAUCUCUCAAGGCAAAGUGAGGCUUGCUGCAAAAUCCUCCUUUUGGGUGUUAGAGCAGAGUACCCAUUCGUUGGUUCAGCCUUUUUGUCUGAAUUCCUUCUGAACAGUACCUAAUGCCCUCCAAGGAGAUGAGAGACCUCAAAGUGAACAGGGAGAUUCUGUGUCAGCGCAGCAGGACAGCAGCACAUGAGGAACUGUGCAAACACUUAUGCUGUCAUACUUUCUCACUAAAUAAGAAGAAUUAAAAUAACUCACUCAUUUAUUUAACAACAACAAAAGCCUAGAAAAAUAACAAUCGAAUGAACAAACAACAAC
ensembl:lincRNA